rnacentral:lncRNA from 1 species
GUAAUUUAAGUUACAGAAGUACACAAACUUGCUGCCAGAUUGUUGUUGCCUUAAAUACGAAUUUCCGGCACUCCUUCCCGGGCUGAUUUCCCAAUAAUGACCUUUAGUCUGACUAUGUUUGUCUGCUCCCUGCCUGCUUCCAUUGUGCUUUGAGCCCCUCCUUGGACUGUUUAUAACCCGUCGCAGGUGUCACCUACGUUUUGUUGAGUGGUCAAAGUGGACGUUUUGGGACAAAAUGACACAUCGUCCAUCUGUGGGUCAACUUUAAAUUUCUGUCCCUUCUCUCCACCUCAGCCAGCUGCUCUUCAUACAUUCACAAGGCCAACCCAAGACUUGGAAACCCUUCAACUCAGCAAGCCAGCUGCUCUUCAUACAUUCACAAGAACAACCCAAGAUUUGGAAACCCUUCACCUCAGCAAGCUUAGCCUUCCCAAUACACUGCCACGGAGGAACUAUUAACAAGUCCGUUUUUUCUUAUGCACUUGAAGAAACCCAGU